UGAAUCAGUGGUGACCACUGGUGGCGUAUAAGUCACGGAUGAUGAAUAUGAGAAGAAAAGAAUCUAGGUUUUU
ensembl:snoRNA